GCCGGGCGCGGUGGCGCGUGCCUGUAGUCCCAGCUACUCGGGAGGCUGAGGCUUGAGGAUCCCUUGAGUUCAGGAGUUCUGGGCUGUAGUGCGCUAUGCCGAUCGGGUGUCCGCACUAAGUUCGGCAUCAAUAUGGUGACCUCCCGGGAGCGGGGGACCACCAGGUUGCCUAAGGAGGGGUGAACCGGCCCAGGUCGGAAACGGAGCAGGUCAAAACUCCCGUGCUGAUCAGUAGUGGGAUCGCGCCUGUGAAUAGCCACUGCACUCCAGCCUGAGCAACAUAGUGAGACCCUGCCUCU
ensembl:misc_RNA Metazoa_SRP Metazoan signal recognition particle RNA